rnacentral:rRNA from 1 species
UGAGGAAUAUUGGGCAAUGCCCGCAAGGGUGACCCAGCAACGCCGCGUGGAGGAUGAAGGCCGUAAGGUUGUAAACUCCUGUUAGAGGAGAAGAAUAGUACCGAUUGGAUCGGUAUUUGACUGUACCCUCAGAGAAAGCCCCGGCUAACUACGUGCCAGCAGCCGCGGUAAUACGUAGGGGGCAAGCGUUGUCCGGAUUUACUGGGUGUAAAGGGCGCGCAGGCGGGAUAGCAAGUCAGAGGUGAAAUCCUACAGCUUAACUGUAGAACUGCCUUUGAUACUGUUAUUCUUGAGUUCGGGAGAGAGAGACGGAAUUCCAGGUGUAGUGGUGAAAUACGUAGAUAUCUGGAAGAACACCAGUUGCGAAGGCGGUCUCUUGGUCCGAUACUGACGCUGAGGCGC